rnacentral:rRNA from 1 species
AGGACGAACGCUGGCGGCGUGCCUAACACAUGCAAGUCGAGCGAGGAGAUCCUUCGGGAUGAUCCUAGCGGCGGACGGGUGAGUAACACGUGGGCAACCUGCCUCAUAGAGAGGAAUAGCCUUCCGAAAGGGAGAUUAAUACCUCAUAACAUUGCAGUUUCGCAUGGAACAGCAAUUAAAGGAGUAAUCCGCUAUGAGAUGGGCCCGCGGCGCAUUAGCUAGUUGGUGAGGUAACGGCUCACCAAGGCGACGAUGCGUAGCCGACCUGAGAGGGUGAUCGGCCACAUUGGGACUGAGACACGGCCCAGACUCCUACGGGAGGCAGCAGGUGGGGAAUAUUGCACAAUGGGGGAAACCCUGAUGCCAGCAACGCCGCGUGAGUGAUGACGGCCUUCGGGUUGUAAAGCUCUGUCUUCAGGGACGAUAAUGACGGUACCUGAGGAGGAAGCCACGGCUAACUACGUGCCAGCCGCCGC